CCUACGGGAGGCAGCAGUGGGGAAUAUUGCACAAUGGGGGAAACCCUGAUGCAGCGACGCCGCGUGAGUGAAGAAGUAUUUCGGUUUGUAAAGCUCUAUCAGCAGGAACGAGACAAGACGGUACCUGACUAAGAAGCCCCGGCUAACUACGUGCCAGCAGCCGCGGUAAUACGCAGGGGGCAAGCGUUAUCCGGAAUCACUGGGUGUAAAGGGAGCGUAGACGGCUGAGCAAGCCUGAAGUGAAAGGCGGGGGCCCAACCCCCGGACUGCUUUGGGAACUGGACGGCUGGAGUGCAGGAGAGGUAAGUGGAAUUCCUAGUGUAGCGGUGAAAUGCGUAGAUAUUAGGAGGAACACCAGUGGCGAAGGCGGCUUACUGGACUGUAACUGACGUUGAGGCUCGAAAGCGUGGGGAGCAAACAGGAUUAGAUACCCUUGUAGUC
rnacentral:rRNA from 1 species